UACAGAGGGUGCGAGCGUUAAUCGGAAUUACUGGGCGUAAAGCGUGCGUAGACGGUUAUUUAAGUCGGGUGUGAAAGCCCCGGGCUCAACCUGGGAAUUGCAUUCGAGACUGAAUAGCUAGGGUACGGUAGAGGGAAGCGGAAUUUCCGGUGUAGCGGUGAAAUGCGUAGAUAUCGGAAGGAACACCAGUGGCGAAGGCGGCUCACUGGCCCGGUACUGACGCUGAGGUGCGAAAGCGUGGGGAGCAAACAGG
rnacentral:rRNA from 1 species